GUGCCGAGUGGAAGGGUCGUCGCUCAAUGGAUAAAAGUUACUCUAGGGAUAACAGGCUGAUCUUCCUCAAGAGUUCACAUCGAUGGGAAGGUUUGGCACCUCGAUGUCAGCUCUUCACCACCUGGGGUGGUAGUACGUUCCAAGGGUUGGGUUGUUCGCCCAUUAAAGCAGUACGUGAGCUGGGUUCAGAACGUCAUGAGACAGUUCGGUCCAUAUCCAGUGCGGGUGUUAGAGCAUUGAGAGGACCUUUCCCUAGUACGAGAGGACCGGGAAGGACCCACCUCUGGUGUACCAGUUAUCAUGCCCAGGGUAGACGCUAGGUAGCCAAGUGCAGAGAGGAUAACUACUGAAAGCAUAUAAGUAGGAAGCCCACCCCAAGAUGAGUGCUCUCCUAUUCUUACUUCUCUGAGAGCCCUAGUUAUGAACACGGCUGGGACAACGACAGGUUCUCUGUCCUUGCAGGGGAUGGAGCGACAAAAGUAUUGAGAAUCCAAGAUAAGGUCACAGCGAGAUGAGCCGUUUAUCAUUACGAUAGGUGUCAAGUGGAAGUGCAGUGAUGUAUGCAGUUGAGGCAUCCUAACAGUCCGAGAGAUUUGAACCU
rfam:Picea glauca, whole genome shotgun sequence.